rnacentral:rRNA from 1 species
GCGAAAGCAUUCAUCAAUUACAUUCUUUUUAAUCAAGAACGAAAGUUAAAGGAUUCAAUCGGAUUAGACGCCCGAGUAAUUUUAACCGUAAACGAUGACAUCUUAGGAUGCUUUGGCGGCACUCUCCGUGUAUUCCCACAGCAAUGUGGGCCAGGGUGAGCAAUCCGCACGUCACGUGGCUUGGGUGCCAUGGGGUCAAACCCAUGGCGUAUGCCCACCACACCGGCACAAGACGCACUAUGUGGGAAACCAACAGCAGUCUUCGUGGAGUGUAUGUUAGCAAUAAUGAAGUUUAAAAGAAUUGACGGAAGUAGUACCACCAGCAAUGGAGCUUGCGGCUUAAUUUGACUCAACGCGGGGAACCUUACCAGUUCAGAACACCGUGAGGAAAGACAGACUGCAGCUCUUUCUUGAUUCUGUGCGUGAAAGUAGUGCAUGGCCUUUGGGAAGUGAGUGGAUUG